rnacentral:rRNA from 1 species
AGGGCACCACCAGGAGUGGAGCCUGCGGCUUAAUUUGACUCAACACGGGGAAACUUACCCGGCCUGGACACUGGAAGGAUUGACAGAUUGAGAGCUCUUUCUUGAUUCAGUGGGUGGUGGUGCAUGGCCGUUCUUAGUUGGUGGAGCGAUUUGUCUGGUUAAUUCCGAUAACGAACGAGACUCUAGCCUAUUAAAUAGGCUCUCGGCUUUUAAACGCCGGGAGGACUUCUUAGAGGGACAGGUGGCGGUUCAGCCGCACGAAAGAGAGCAAUAACAGGUCUGUGAUGCCCUUUGUUGUCCGGGGCCGCGCGCGCGCUACACUGAAGAGAUCAGCGUGCUUUACGUUCCUGCUCCGACCGGAGUGGGGAACCCAGUGAACCUUCUUCGUGAUUGGGAUAGAAGAUUGUAAUUAUUCUUCUUGAACGAGGAAUUCCCAGUAAAUGCGAGUCAUAAGCUCGCGUUGAUUACGUCCCUGCCCUUUGUACACACCGCCCGUCGCUACUACCGAUUGAACGAUUU